rnacentral:rRNA from 1 species
GCUUGUCUCAAAGAUUAAGCCAUGCAUGUCUAAGUAUAAACUAUUUUAUACUGUGAAACUGCGAAUGGCUCAUUAAAUCAGUUAUAGUUUAUUUGAUGGUACCUUACUACUCGGAUAACCGUAGUAAUUCUAGAGCUAAUACAUGCGUCAAGCCCCGACUCACGAAGGGGUGCAUUUAUUAGAUUCAAACCAUCGGCUUCACGGCCUUUGAUGGUGAGUCAUAAUAACUUAGCGAAUCGAAUGGCUUUACGCCGUCGAUGCUUCAUUCAAAUUUCUGCCCUAUCAGCUUUCGAUGGUAGGAUCUUGGCCUACCAUGGCUAUAACGGGUAACGGGGAAUUAGGGUUCGAUUCCGGAGAGGGAGCUUGAGAAACGGCUACCACAUCCAAGGAAGGCAGCAGG